ACAGCAGCCGCCGCGGUAAUACGGAGGGUGCAAGCGUUAUCCGGAUUUAUUGGGUUUAAAGGGUCCGUAGGCGGAUCUGUAAGUCAGUGGUGAAAUCUCACAGCUUAACUGUGAAACUGCCAUUGAUACUGCAGGUCUUGAGUAAAUUUGAAGUGGCUGGAAUAAGUAGUGUAGCGGUGAAAUGCAUAGAUAUUACUUAGAACACCAAUUGCGAAGGCAGGUCACUAAGAUUUAACUGACGCUGAUGGACGAAAGCGUGGGGAGCGAACAGGAUUAGAUACCCGAGUAGUCCCUGUCUCUUAUAC
rnacentral:rRNA from 1 species